UACGUAGGUGGCAAGCGUUGUCCGGAAUUAUUGGGCGUAAAGAGCUCGUAGGCGGUUUGUCACGUCUGCUGUGAAAACUGGAGGCUCAACCUCCAGCCUGCAGUGGGUACGGGCAGACUAGAGUGCGGUAGGGGAGAUUGGAAUUCCUGGUGUAGCGGUGGAAUGCGCAGAUAUCAGGAGGAACACCGAUGGCGAAGGCAGAUCUCUGGGCCGUAACUGACGCUGAGGAGCGAAAGCAUGGGGAGCGAACAGG
rnacentral:rRNA from 1 species